rnacentral:rRNA from 1 species
ACUUAAAUUGAAGAGUUUGAUCAUGGCUCAGAUUGAACGCUGGCGGCAGGCCUAACACAUGCAAGUCGAACGGUAACAGGAAGCAGCUUGCUGCUUCGCUGACGAGUGGCGGACGGGUGAGUAAUGUCUGGGAAACUGCCUGAUGGAGGGGGAUAACUACUGGAAACGGUGGCUAAUACCGCAUAACGUCGCAAGACCAAAGAGGGGGACCUUCGGGCCUCUUG